rnacentral:rRNA from 1 species
CUUGACACUGAACACUGGUCCUUGAUGUGUAGGAUAGGUGGGAGGCUUUGAAGCGUGGACGCCAGUCUGCGUGGAGCCAACCUUGAAAUACCACCCUUUAAUGGCUGGUGUUCUAACGUAGACCCGUAAUCCGGGUUGCGGACAGUGUCUGGUGGGUAGUUUGACUGGGGCGGUCUCCUCCCAAAGAGUAACGGAGGAGCACGAAGGUUAGCUAAUCCUGGUCGGACAUCAGGAGGUUAGUGCAAUGGCAUAAGC